UUGUUUUUCCUCUAGCUUGUUUUAUGAUUCCUUUUCUUCUAUUUUCUUACCUUUUUAAAAUUUUCAUUUAUUUAAUUUUUUAAAUCCGUUUAUGCCGAUUAUUAACUGAUUGUCUCUCAACUCUAGACACCCUUCUAUAUUCUGGAACUUUGCAAACUACAUUUCUCAUUUGCCAUCUGGCUUCCUUUAGGUUACACAAAUAGGGGGCACUAAAGGAAACUGGAAUGCUGGAGGUAGGGAGAAGAGACUUUUACUCUUCCCAUUUGCUUCCUGAUAUUGUCAGCAUCACCUCAGCAAUGGCUUUUCUCCCAGUAGUUGUGGUUAGUUCCCAUGCUCUAGUUUUUCUCCGGCAAUCUGCAGAGUAUCUCUUCUAGGCUUCCAGGUUCUAGUAAUCCCACCCUUUUCCCUUAAAUGUCGUGUCCCUUGGUGACAUUAUCAGUUCUCCUAAAACCUGUUUAACCAAUUCCUUAUGUUAAAUUCUUUCUUAAUAUAAAUGAUAUGGUCUCUCUUUUCCUGAGCUGUACACAUUUUAUUUUUCUUUACUAGUUUAAUAACUUUCAUCCUUUGAUGAUUACCCUUUAUUACAACAUGCCAUAUUCAGGUAAAGUUAGACUAAAGUUAAUCAUUAUCUUUAUCUUUUGGCAGAUUAUAGUUUCCAAAAAUGGCCACAACAUUUCCAAUCACAGAUACUAUUCUAGAAGCUUAUCACCUAUCCCCCAAACCCAUCAAGAGACAGAAUCUGUUUCUGCUCCCCUUGAACCUAAACAAGGAUUUAUGAAUGCCUCAACUAAUGUAACAGAGUACAGCAUAUGUAACUCUGUAUGACUUCUAAGGUUAGGUCAUAAAAGGCUUCCACUUGGCUGUCUCUCACUCUCUCUUGCUUGAUCUCUCCUUCUUGGAAAGCUCAUCCUUGGAAUCCAGACAUCAUGUUUUGAGGAAGCCUAAACUACCCCACAUGCAGAGAAAAUGAGGCCCCUAACCUACAGCCAGCGUCAGGUGUCAGACGACAUGCUUACCAUCUGGAAUAAAUUUCUUCCUACCUGAAAUAUUUCCUUUAGAAGUUCAUUUUGUGAGAGUCCACUGGUGGCAUACUUGCUCAUGAUUUCUUUGUCUGCAAAUACAUUUUGCCAAAUGUAAAAUUCUAAUUUGGUCUUUAUUAUCUUUCAGCACAUUGGAGAUGCUUUUCUGCUCUCUUAUGACUUCUGCUGUUGCUGUUGAGUCAGCUGUCAGGCUAAAUAUUGCAUCUUUAAAAAGAAAUCUGUUUACAUGCUUUCAUUUUAUGCAGUUUAAUUAUUAUGUGUUAAAUAAUUAGUCUGUGUUAAAUAAAUAAUCCUGGGUAUGGAUUUCUUUUUAUUAAUCCUGUUUGGGAUUUGUUCAGCUCUUUGAAUGUAGAUUUAUAUCUUUUGUUAGUUCUGAGAAAGUCUCAGAUCUUAUUCCUUCACAUGUUCCCCGCUCCCCGCCAUUCUCUUCUAUGGUGACUCUCAUUGAACAUGGCAGACUUACUCUGCCCUCCCUGUUUAUCACCCUCUCUUCUGUAUUUUCCAAUUGUUUUUGUCUUAUGCUUUAUUCUAUGUAAUUUCUUCUCACUCAUAUUCUAGUGUACUUCUUUUUAUCUGUUAAGUAUGUACUUACUAUUAUAUCCAUCCAUUUUGUUUUUAAUUUUGGUUGUAUUUUUCAGUCCCAGAAGUUCUGUUUGGUUCUCUUUUUUAAAGCUGCUGGGUCACUUUUUGUAGUUUCCUAUCCCAUGCAGAUAUUUUCUAAUAUUUAUUAUUUAAACUCUGAGGGCCAUUUUAUGGUCUUUGUCUCCCAAUUUCAAUUUCUGCAGUUUUUGUGACUCUUUUUCCCAACUAAAUGUGUUGCUUGUCUCCUGUUAGACUCUCCACCUUGAUCAGGCCCUCGCCUUUGAUUUCUAGCUCCCUUGUCCAUUCCUUCUCACUUCAUUGCAGUCAACCACGUGCCUCACCAUCUUUAGGGGUCCAUUUUGUUGAAGCUUUCGGUAUUAAGGACUGUAUUUUCUUAUAGAAUGCAAGAAUUCACUCUUAACCUUUUGAGAUGGUAGCAAAUUGGAGCUCUUUAGUCUCUUGUUCCUUAACUAUAUUUGGACUAACUUAAUUUUAAGGUCUUUGAGAAUAAGAGAUUAGACAGACAGAUGAUAGGUAGGUAGGUAGGUAGGUAGGUAGGUAGAUAGAUAGAUAGGUAGAUAGAUCUUUUGAGAUCUUUGCAUCAGUUAAUACAGUUGAUAUCACAGAUUUUAAAGAAGUUUGCAGACUUCAUUAUAACAAAUUUGAUUGUGGUGUGUGAUAAAAGGGCAGAUUUCUGGACCAACUCCAGAAAUUAGUAAAUCUGAAGGAGGCUUAGGAUUCUGCAUAUUUUCAGGCAUCCCAGAUAACUCAUUGAGUUAGUUUGCUAGGACUGCCAUAACAAAUACCGCAGACUCAGUGGCUUAAACAACAGAAAUUUAUUUUCUCAGUUCUGGAGGCUAAAAGUCCAAGAUCAAGGUGUCAGCAAGGUUCAUUUCUUCCUGUUUGCUUACAGAUGGUCAUCUUCUCCCUCUGUCAUGCAUGGUCUUUCCUCUGUGCUUGCGUCCUAAUCUCCUUUUCUCAUAAAGACACAUCUGUAUAAGAUGUUGGAGGUAAGAGGACCUUAGAAAUCCAUUCUAACCCCUUCGUUUUUUCAGAUGAGGACACCAAAGAAGCCAAACGUCCAAAUAAUUAGAACCAGGAGUAGAAUAUAAGCCAUAUCUUUUGAUUCUUAGUUGAUUGCACAAGUGAUUCCCAAAUUGAAUGACCAUCAAAAUCAAUUUAGAAGCUUGUUUUUCAAGAAAAAAAUUUAUUAAAAAAAUAUCCCUGAGAUUUUGAUUCAGUAGAUCUAGUGUGGGGUUGAGAAAUCAGUAUUUUUAAAGGAUUCUGAGUGAUUAUAGUCAGUCUCACUGUUAUACUUUUGAAAUGGAUGAUUACAUAGCCUUUUACCAUCCUUACCAUUAAGGCUUUUACAAAAGGGGGUAUGGGUUGAUUUAGAGUUAACAAAAAGUUAACGUCAGGGAAAAACAUGGAAAUUAAUAAAUUUCAUUUAUUUCUAGUAACAAAAAUGUAACGUGGAAUAUUUCCAUUGGGAAAGGGCUUCUCCUAGUACAUUUCAUGUCUCUGGUUUCUAGCUAGAUAGUUAGAAUGACUUAAAUUUGAUAAAUCAGAUUUCAACAAAACCUAGUGAGGUUUUCUGGAAUUGCUAGAAUUUAGGAGAACUAGAAAAUCUGCUGUGGAAACUGUAUAGAGGGGAAAUGUAUUUAAUUGAAGCAUAGGGAAAUAAAAACAUUUGGAAUGGAUCAUAUGUUUUCAACUUAUAUCAAUGCUUGGGAAUGCGUAUAUCUCUGAGUUACCUUCACAGCUAUAUUUUAUAGUUUACUGGUGAGUUGGUUUCAUUCUGACAAGAUAGUGAAAUUGUAUGCUACAGUGUUUAAUUCUGGUGUCCAGGUAAGUGACUUGGUAAUCAGGAUCAGGAAAAUCAAGGUAAUUUUCUUUAAAAGUAAGAUCUUCCUUUUGAAAAGUUACCAAGACACAUGAAGCUAGGUUUCCCAUUUUGGUUCAUGCAAUAUGUAGAUUUUUCCUCAACCUCUCUCCUCUCUCUUCUGUGUUGGGUUCUUGGCCUAGAAAUUGUGGGUGGAGAAGCUUGAUUAAAUAAAAAGCCAAUAUCAAGGAACAGGGCAGUUUCUUAUUUCAAUGUGAACUGAUUUUCCUGCUUGUAGUUGGAACAUUGGUGGUGUAUUUAAUAAAUUUAGUUAAUUAAAUACUGAAUAUUUGGAUGCUUUUUUAAUUUUUAUUUUAUUGACUUCUAACUUCCUAAUAAAUUUUUCUCUAGGAACUUUUUUUUUCCUGGCUAGCUUAAUAUCAGUUACCUACUCUACCAUAUUUUAAAGUGACUUUUAGUCUAAACUUCUAAUUUCUGAAGUUGGGAAAAAUAAAUUGAGGAAAUAUCUU